AUUGAACGCUGGCGGCAUGCUUUACACAUGCAAGUCGAACGGCAGCACGGGUGCUUGCACCUGGUGGCGAGUGGCGGACGGGUGAGUAAUACAUCGGAACGUGUCCUAAAGUGGGGGAUAACGCAUCGAAAGAUGUGCUAAUACCGCAUAAUCUCUAAGGAGAAAAGUAGGGGAUCGAAAGACCUUAUGCUUUUGGAGCGGCCGAUGUCUGAUUAGCUAGUUGGUAGGGUAAUGGCUUACCAAGGCGACGAUCAGUAGUUGGUCUGAGAGGAUGAUCAGCCACACUGGAACUGAGACACGGUCCAGACUCCUACGGGAGGCAGCAGUAGGGAAUAUUGUGCAAUGGGCGAAAGCCUGACACAGCCAUGCCGCGUGUGUGAAGAAGGCCCUAGGGUUGUAAAGCACUUUCAGUAAGGAGGAAUUAGUAGGGUUAAUAACCUUAUGAAAUGACGUUACCUACAGAAGAAGUACCGGCUAACUCCGUG
rnacentral:rRNA from 1 species